GACAGAGGUGCCGAGCGUUAGGCGGAAUCACUGGGCUUAAAGCGUGUGUAGGCGGAUCGUUAAGUACCUUGUGAAAUCCCACGGCUUAACCGUGGAACUGCUGGGUAUACUGGCGAUCUUGAGCCACCUAGGGGCAACCGGAACAAAUGGUGGUGCGGUGAAAUGCGUAGAUAUCAUUUGGAACGCCAAUGGUGAAAACAGGUUGCUGGGGGUGUGCUGACGCUGAGACACGAAAGCCAGGGGAGCAAACGGG
rnacentral:rRNA from 1 species